rnacentral:rRNA from 1 species
AUUGAACGCUGGCGGUAUGCUUUACACAUGCAAGUCGAACGGUAACAGGCCGCAAGGUGCUGACGAGUGGCGAACGGGUGAGUAAUGCAUCGGAACGUGCCCAGUCGUGGGGGAUAACUACUCGAAAGAGUAGCUAAUACCGCAUACGAUCUAUGGAUGAAAGCGGGGGACCGUAAGGCCUCGCGCGAUUGGAGCGGCCGAUGUCAGAUUAGGUAGUUGGUGGGGUAAAGGCUCACCAAGCCAACGAUCUGUAGCUGGUCUGAGAGGACGACCAGCCACACUGGGACUGAGACACGGCCCAGACUCCUACGGGAGGCAGCAGUGGGGAAUUUUGGACAAUGGGCGCAAGCCUGAUCCAGCAAUGCCGCGUGCAGGAAGAGGGCCUUCGGGUUGUAAACUGCUUUUGUACGGAACGAAACGGCUCUGGUUAAUACCCGGGGCUAAUGACGGUACCGUAAGAAUAAGCACCGGCUAACUACGUG